rnacentral:lncRNA from 1 species
CCGAUCAUACGAAGUCUAUCUUCUCUCAUCCUUAAGGCGCAGGAUGCCCAUUAUGAUAUUGCUACAACUAUGAUGACAAUGAAAUCACAUAUUCAAGCUCUUGAAGAGCGUGCUAAUGCAGCAUCUGUUCAGAGUAUGAUGUUCGGACAGUUAACAGCUGAGUCCCUGCCCAAAAACCUGCACUGCCUAGAACUCAAGCUCAUGGCUGACUGGCUUACAAGUAUGAUGUUUGGACAGUUAACAGCUGAGUCCCUGCCCAAAAACCUGCACUGCCUAGAACUCAAGCUCAUGGCUGACUGGCUUACAAGAAAGUCGCUGCAGGAUUUUGCAGAUGAGAGGAGAAACUCACCUCGUUUAGUUGACAAUAACUUGUAUCACUUCUGCAUAUUUUCAGAUAAUCUGGU